rnacentral:snoRNA from 1 species
AUGAUGCGAUCAAUUGAGGCAUUUGUAUGACCGUGACGAUGAGUUACAUCUCCGUG